UACGGAGGAUGCAAGCGUUAUCCGGAAUGAUUGGGCGUAAAGCGUCCGCAGGUGGCUAUGUAAGUCUGCUGUUAAAGAGUGAGGCUCAACCUCAUAAGAGCAGUGGAAACUACAUGGCUAGAGUGCGUUCGGGGCAGAGGGAAUUCCUGGUGUAGCGGUGAAAUGCGUAGAUAUCAGGAAGAACACCGGUGGCGAAAAGCGCUCUGCUAGGCCCGCAAACUGACACUGAGGGGACGAAAAGCUAGGGGGGAGCGAAUGGGG
rnacentral:rRNA from 1 species